AAUAGAUACCCGGGUAGUCCACGCUGUAAACGAUGAGUACUAGCUGUUGGAAGGCUAAGCCCUUUCAGUAGUGGAGCUAACGCAUUAAGUACUCCGCCUGGGGAAUACGGCCGCAAGGCUAAAACUCAAAGAAAUUGACGGGGGCCCGCACAAGCGGUGGAGCAUGUGGUUUAAUUCGAUGCAACGCGAAAAACCUUACCUACCCUUGACAUCCUUAGAAUUUUGCAGAGAUGCGAAAGUGCCUUCGGGAACUAAGAGACAGGUGCUGCAUGGCUGUCGUCAGCUCGUGUCGUGAGAUGUUGGGUUAAGUCCCGUAACGAGCGCAACCCUUGUGCCUAGUUGCCAUCAUUUAGUUGGGGACUCUAGGCAGACUGCCGGUGGCAAACCGGAGGAAGGUGGGGAUGACGUCAAGUCCUCAUGGCCCUUAUGGGUAGGGCUACACACGUGCUACAAUGGGCAGAACAAAGGGAAGCAAAGCCGAGAGGUGGAGCGGAUCUCAGAAAACUGUUCGUAGUCCGGAUAGGAGU
rnacentral:rRNA from 1 species